GACGUAGGGCGCGAGCGUUGUCCGGAUUUAUUGGGCGUAAAGAGCUCGUAGGCGGUGUGUCGCGUCGGCCGUGAAAACCUGCAGCUUAACUGUGGGCUUGCGGUCGAUACGGGCAUCACUGGAGUUCGGCAGGGGGAGACUGGAAUUCCUGGUGUAGCGGUGAAAUGCGCAGAUAUCAGGAGGAACACCGGUGGCGAAGGCGGGGUCUCUGGGCCGAUACUGACGCUGAGGGAGCGAAAAGCGUGGGGGAGCGAACAGG
rnacentral:rRNA from 1 species